rnacentral:rRNA from 1 species
AUAGCGUAUAUUAAAGUUGUUGCGGUUAAAAAGCUCGUAGUUGAAUCUGUGUGCCACACUGUCGGUUCAUCGCUCGCGGUGUUUAACUGGCAUGAUUGGGGGACGUCCUACCGGUGGGYUUASCCYUUNGGGGCGGUCCAACUAAUAUCCCAUCGCGGUGCUCUUAAYYGAGUGUCGAGGUGGGCCGGUACGUUUACUUUGAACAAAUUAGAGUGCUUAAAGCAGGCUAUUUUCGCCUGAAUACUGUGUGCAUGGAAUAAUGGAAUAGGACCUCGGUUCUAUUUUGUUGGUUUUCGGAACCCCGAGGUAAUGAUUAAUAGGGACAGAUGGGGGCAUUCGUAUUGCGACGUUAGAGGUGAAAUUCUUGGAUCGUCGCAAGACGRACAGAAGCGAAAGCAUUUGCCAAAAAUGUUUUCAUUAAUCAAGAACGAAAGUUAGAGGUUCGAAGGCGAUCAGAUACCGCCCUAGUUCUAACCAUAAACGAUGCCAGCUAGCGAUCCGCCGAAGUUCCUCCGAUGACUCGGCGGGCAGCUUCCGGGAAACCAAAGCUUUUGGGUUCCGGGGGAAGUAUGGUUGCAAAGCUGAAACUUAAAGGAAUUGACGGAAGGGCACCACCAGGAGUGGAGCCUGCGGCUUAAUUUGACUCAACACGGGAAACCUCACCAGGCCCGGACACCGGAAGGAUUGACAGAUUGAYAGCUCUUUCUUGAUUCGGUGGGUGGUGGUGCAUGGCCGUU